CAACAGGGAUUGCCUCAGUAACGGCGAGUGAAGCGGCAACAGCUCAAAUUUGAAAUCUGGCUCUUUCAGGGUCCGAGUUGUAAUUUGUAGAGGAUGUUUCGGGUGUGGCUCCGGUCUAAGUUCCUUGGAACAGGACGUCAUAGAGGGUGAGAAUCCCGUAUGUGACUGGUAGCCUAUGCUCAUGUGAAACUCCUUCGACGAGUCGAGUUGUUUGGGAAUGCAGCUCAAAAUGGGUGGUAAAUUUCAUCUAAAGCUAAAUAUUGGCCAGAGACCGAUAGCGCACAAGUAGAGUGAUCGAAAGAUGAAAAGCACUUUGGAAAGAGAGUUAAACAGUACGUGAAAUUGUUGAAAGGGAAGCGCUUGCAACCAGACUUGCAUGUAGCUGAUCAACCGGUGUUCUCACCGGUGCACUCAGUUGCGUUCAGGCCAGCAUCGGUUUCGACGGUUGGAUAAAGGCCUUGGGAAUGUAGCUUCUUUCGGGGAGUGUUAUAGCCCAGGGUGCAAUGCAGCCUGUUGGGACCGAGGACCGCGCUUCGGCUAGGAUGCUGGCGUAAUGGUUGUAAGCGACCCGUCUUGAAACACGGACCAAGGAGUCUAACAUCUAUGCGAGUGUUUGGGUGUCAAACCCAUACGCGUAAUGAAAGUGAACGGAGGUGAGAACCCUUAAGGGUGCAUCAUCGACCGAUCCUGAUGUCUUCGGAUGGAUUUGAGUAAGAGCAUAGCUGUUGGGACCCGAAAGAUGGUGAACUAUGCCUGAAUAGGGUGAAGCCAGAGGAAACUCUGGUGGAGGCUCGCAGCGGUUCUGACGUGCAAAUCGAUCGUCAAAUUUGGGUAUAGGGGCGAAAGACUAAUCGAA
rnacentral:rRNA from 1 species